UACGAAGGGGGCUAGCGUUGCUCGGAAUCACUGGGCGUAAAGCGCACGUAGGCGGACUCUUAAGUCAGAGGUGAAAUCCUGGAGCUCAACUCCAGAACUGCCUUUGAUACUGGGAGCCUUGAGUUCGGGAGAGGUGAGUGGAACUGCGAGUGUAGAGGUGAAAUUCGUAGAUAUUCGCAAGAACACCAGUGGCGAAGGCGGCUCACUGGCCCGGUACUGACGCUGAGGCACGAAAGCGUGGGGAGCAAACAGG
rnacentral:rRNA from 1 species